GUAUCACGCCGAAGACAGCAGGUGCCCCCGGGCAUAAGCAGCAUACGCCUGCCGAGGAAUAUACAUUCUGACUAGGAAUUGUACCUCACUGUCCUUGCGGCAGCGGGGAUUUUUUUAUUUCU
rnacentral:sRNA from 1 species